rnacentral:snRNA from 1 species
ACACUCACCUGGCAGGGGAGAUACCUUGACGGUGGUUUUCUCAGGGUGAGGUUGAUCCAUUGCACUCUGUGCUGACCCCCAAUGAGGGAAACUUGACUGUAUAACUUGUGGUAGUGGGGGUGUGCUGGAGGAAAAACUGGCAAAAGUAGAUUUACUGUGCUCUUU